rnacentral:lncRNA from 1 species
UCCUGGAAUGGAAGUAUGACAUGUAAUUUCCAGAGUUUCAGCCCAAGUGACACAGGAGUGAUCAGAAAUGAGAAUAGUUCUGAGCAUCAGUAAACAGUAGAUGGAUUAGGGCAGCAUUCUGGAAAAACUCAUACUUGAGUCUAGAAGUAGAGACAGGAUUUGAGCAUGCAUAGAGAAUAGAGGAUUCCUUUGUGAGUGAGUGGCACAGUGUGACUAGAUCAUACAUAUGACAACAUGCCUAGUAGCUUCUGGCAGAAAGACACUCAAUAAAUGUGUGACAGAGGCAGGUGGGAAUGAGUGUGUGUGUUCAUGGAAGGAGACAUCUGAAUGGAAAGAAAGGAGAAGACGAGGGUUAGAAGGACCUGAAGCCACCUCACAUGGUGCUUUACCAUUCUCAGAGCCACUUCAGGAACACUGGCUUGUAUCAGGAGAAAUGUCUUUUGUGUCUCUGUAGCUGUGUGACCUCGGGCAAGUUACUCCCCACCAUCGGCCCCAAUUUCUUUACAAGUCACAUGGGGAGUUGGGACUAGAUGACAGCUGAGUUUCCUUCCGGCUCUGAGAGUCUGUGAUUCUAUGUUGUGCUUGUCCCUAGGGUGACAGGAAUACCUGUCAUGUAGUAUUUGCAACAAUGUUAGAGGAUACUGCUGGCUCUGGAAAGCAUGGUAUGUUGUUGGAUACUUUUCCAUUGAAGCUCAGACAAAAGGGACUUGUCAGGAAGACCAUUAAGAAACCUCAACUUGGCUGUGAACUCAUCAUCUGAUGUACUCAAGCGCAUUGCCAAUCUCCUUUUGGGAAAAUUCGGC